AAAAUACAAUUCAAGUCCAAUUAAUAUUGAUGACGAUGAAGAUUUUCAUAAUAUAUAUAUAACUUAAUCUUAUUUUUUAUUGCAAGCAAUUGAACGACCUCCAUUAUUGUCUUUUUAAAUUUAUCUUGGAAAAACAUAAUUCCAUUAGGCUACCUGUACACCCAGAUUGGAUGAACAAGGCCGAUUCCAGCGAAAGCCUACAUAACAGUUGAAGAAGCUAUGACAACCUACACCGGGCAAACCUGACUUUCAGGUCUCUCCCACAGACGGAGACAGGGGAGCAGAUGCAACCACCCACGGACCAGCCCGCAGACGCACAGCAUGCCUCUCCACAGCCUGGCGAAGCGCUCGAGCGGUGCCAUCAUGAGCAGUGGCUCCAGGCGCCUCCGUGGGAAGGAGAAGACUGUAAUAUUGCGUCACGAACAGUAGAGCUGGACCCUUGACACGCAGACCUUUCAUCGUCUCAUUUGAAGGCUGUUCGUGUCACCACCUGCAUGUUCAGAAGCACAGAAUGUCACGAUUACCACACGAAGUGUCAGGAUAAUUGCAUGUUACAUACCUGCCCAGGGUGUAAUCCCAACCUACGAACAUGAAGGCUUGUAGUGAGUUUGUUUGGCGCCACUAAGCAUGAGAAAUCCCCAAUAAUUUGUCUCCUAUUGUGAAACCCCGUGUGCAGCCCUAAAAAUAGUCGCACCGAAACAAAGGUGAGCUGAAAGUGUCCCCGGCUGAGCCCAGACGGAGGAGAGUUGGGUAAAGCAGGGGUUUUUUACACGCUUUUCCAGAAGAAUAAAAACAACAGAAAGGAGGAAAAAAAAUACUUCCUUUACCCCCUGGCUCUACACCCCCUGUUGAACCAGUGAAUCAAAUGUGAUGUGACUUUAAACUGCUGUGUCAUGAAGAUGUGGCUGACGCCUCGCUGGAUUCAAACGACUUCCUCCAGGAACCUCUGAAUCAGGCCUGCUCGUGACUCCCUUCUGUGGUCCUUCUGUUCAGCGGCUUGGAACUGAACGUCAGCCUCACGGCACCAUUUGACUGUGGCACUUUGCCCCUGGAGCUCAGGAAUACUAAACUGUUCUUGAUCAGACAUACGUGCUGGCCGUGCGAACAUGACAAGCAUACACACACACACACACACACACACACACAUGCAAUGAAACACCUAAACAAACACACUAAACAAAUACUUGGACACUAACAGACAUACAUAUACAAAUACUUACGCAUUCCCUCUCACACAGAGCCAUGCACAGAACCAAACUUAAGCUUGUGUCAUACACAAGCCACCUGGCUUCUGUGUUAGUGGUGGGGGAGGAGAAGGGGGUACUGGGGUCCCAGGGCCAUCUUGCGGUUAAAGCCUUCCUCCCCUCUAAUCUCUAUAGACUCUCGUAGGGGAAUUUAGGACACAUCAGGAGAGGGCUUUGUACCCUUGUGGUUGUGGUUGAGUAGAUGACCAAUCCACGCUCUAAGGAACGCUGAAACAGGUGAUGUCUGCAUGUCAACAGGUGGACUGUGGUGACUGGUCGCUCCCUGUGUAACUGCUUGAAAUAAAAAUAGAAUUGUUUGCAUAUA